rnacentral:tRNA from 1 species
UGGAGAUAUAACUUAAUGGUAGAAUGCUUGCCUAGCAUGCGGGAGGACCUGGGUUCAAUUCCCCAGCACAAUUUUUAA